rnacentral:ncRNA from 1 species
UAACAGGGGAGCUUGUAAACAGGCUGAGAGGAGGUUGCGAACCUCGACCCUUAUACCUGAUUUGGAUAAUGCCAACGUAGGAAAAGGAU